rnacentral:lncRNA from 1 species
AUUGUUUAAAUGUGAAAAUCAUACAUGGAGAAUUAUAAGAAGAAGGACUGAGAAUUAAUAAUCCAGAGGAGAUUCCAGAGACUUUUCAUGAUUGCAAAAGAUAGCACAAACACACUCCUCUGCACAAAUCCGCUUUGUUUCAUCCAUCGUCAUACCUACGGAUUUCAAAAGAUUAAGGUAAACCAAAAGAAUGAUCGGUGGAGACCACUCAAAGUUGAAUAGGUUGUUUAUAUUUUACCUGGCUGUGAAGAGGGUGAAUCCAAUGAGAUACUAAGGCGCAUUACUCAUCUGUAAAAGGAAGAGGAUCACUUGUCAUUCGCUUUGGAUAAUCAAAUCAUAUGCACACAACUUGUGACUGAUGAAGUAGUUUAAUUAGCUUGAUGUCAAAUUUCGUGUAAACUUGUAAGAGUUCAAACUAGAUUCACAAGGCCACACAAGAGGAUUCAUUGAAUCAAACAAGCAAAGACCAUAUCUACAUUUUCUUUUGCAAACCUAGGCUUUAACAAUUCAUAGCUAUUCUGUACGUAUCACCAUAAACACAGUUAUCAUAUAUGUCUAAAUGUAGUGAAUAAACCAGUGAAAAAGACUGUCUUCCCAAAACACUAACUAGAUUAAGCAAAGGGGAUUGAUUUUGAUUUCUAUAUCACUCUAGUUAAUUUUUCCCCUGGACAAGUUUUCAUGGACUCUUUGAUAUCAGCAACUAAAAGUAAGAAGAUACUUAUUAACAUUCAUAUUACAGGCAACAGAAUUUACAACAUUCCACCAGAUGCAUGUUUUCACUAAAGUUUAAUAAAGGAGUGAAGCCAGGGAGGGAGCUCAGGGAUUCAUUUCUUUACUUCUUUAUCAAGUCAAGAAUUGUAAUACUUUGCUUACUAUUACUCCAAGCCAGAGAAAAGAUAGAAAACAAUCAUAAAACAUCCAGAAAAAAUGGAAUCUAAACGAAUCACAGAAUAAAAUAUCAUUGUUACUUUUCGAUACUAAAGCAGAAAGUUGGAUAAGUACAAGCUGAAACAGAGUUUAACAAGAAAAAUCAAUAGUUGAACAGAAUUAAACAUCACAAUACUCUAACUUGUGGAAACGAAGCCUUGGAAAAAAUCUAAGGUUUCAAGUGCCCAUCUAUGGAUAUCUCUCUGUUACACUAAGCUAACAUAUACAUCAACAAGUCAACGGUGCAAGAGAAUACGAAAACCACAAGAGAAAGAAAAUGAACGAUCCUGACCUUUCAUGUGUUCAUGAUGAUCAGAAGCAGCAAUCUUAGCCGUAUCAUCAUUAGUUUAAUUUAAUCUAAUUGUCAAACUCAACGUACGGGAUAAAGACUGAUCCGUUAUGUUUUGGUUUGACUUUUGGA